rnacentral:rRNA from 1 species
AGCAGCCGCGGUAAUUCCAGCUCCAAUAGCGUAUAUUAAAGUUGUUGCAGUUAAAAAGCUCGUAGUUGAAUUUCGGGGUCAAUAAGUUGGUCAUGCCAAUGGUAUGCACUGGCUUUAUUGAUUCCUACCUCUUGACGAACUGUGAUGCCAUUAAUUUGGUGUUGCAAGGAAUCAGGACUGUUACCUUGAAAAAAUUAGAGUGUUUAAAGCAAGCUUACGCUUGAAUACAUUAGCAUGGAAUAAUGAAAUAGGACGUUUGAUCCUAUUUUGUUGGUUUCUAGGAUCGACGUAAUGAUUAAUAGGGAUAGUUGGGGGCAUUAGUAUUCAAUUGUCAGAGGUGAAAUUCUUGGAUUUAUUGAAGACUAACUACUGCGAAAGCAUUUGCCAAGGAUGUUUUCAUUAAUCAAGGACGAAAGUUAGGGGAUCGAAGACGAUCAGAUACCGUCGUAG